GUGAGGUAACGGCUCACCAAGGCGACGAUCAGUAGCUGGUCUGAGAGGAUGACCAGCCACACUGGGACUGAGACACGGCCCAGACUCCUACGGGAGGCAGCAGUGGGGAAUCUUGCGCAAUGGGCGAAAGCCUGACGCAGCCAUGCCGCGUGAAUGAUGAAGGUCUUAGGAUUGUAAAAUUCUUUCACCGGGGACGAUAAUGACGGUACCCGGAGAAGAAGCCCCGGCUAACUUCGUGCCAGCAGCCGCGGUAAUACGAAGGGGGCUAGCGUUGCUCGGAAUUACUGGGCGUAAAGGGCGCGUAGGCGGAUCGUUAAGUCAGAGGUGAAAUCCCAGGGCUCAACCCUGGAACUGCCUUUGAUACUGGCGAUCUUGAGUAUGAGAGAGGUAUGUGGAACUCCGAGUGUAGAGGUGAAAUUCGUAGAUAUUCGGAAGAACACCAGUGGCGAAGGCGACAUACUGGCUCAUUACUGACGCUGAGGCGCGAAAGCGUGGGGAGCAAACAGGGAUUAGAUACCCUGGUAGUCCACGCCGUAAACGAUGAUUGCUAGUUGUCGGGCUGCAUGCAGUU
rnacentral:rRNA from 1 species